rnacentral:rRNA from 1 species
AACGAACGCUGGCGGCAUGCCUAACACAUGCAAGUCGAACGAGACCUUCGGGUCUUGUGGCGCACGGGUGCGUACCGCGUGGGAACCUGCCCUUAGGUUCGGAAUAACUCCCCGAAAGGGGUGCUAAUACCGGAUAAUGUCUUCGGACCAAAGAUUUAUCGCCUUUGGAUGGGCCCGCGUUGGAUUGGCUGGUUGGUAGGGUAAAAGCCUACCAAGGCGACGAGCCAUAGCUGGUCUGAGAGGAGGAUCAGCCACACUGGGACUGAGACACGGCCCAGACUCCUACGGGAGGCAGCAGUGGGGAAUAUUAGACAAUGGGCGCAAGCCUGAUCCAGCAAUGCCGCGUGAGUGAUGAAGGCCUUAGGGUUGUAAAGCUCUUUUACCCGGGAUGAUAAUGACAGUACCGGGAGAAUAAGCACCGGCUAACUCCGUG